rnacentral:sRNA from 1 species
AGUCUUCAUAAUAGAGUUAGAGCAGCUGUUCAAUAUUAAGAUUAUACUUUUUAUACACCAUAUUUGAUCCUCUAUGUAACACAUUUUAACACCGGACUGAGUGUAUAAAGAUGUUAUAUAUAUUAGAAUUGUUCAUAUCAUGUCAUUUUGUGUGAUGUACACUGUUUUACCAAGCAGAAGCCGGGAAUCUGUUAUUAUGUAUUUACACUGCAUCAUUUCAAGAUAAGUUCAUGUUAGAAUGGCAGUAGAAUUUUUGUCUAUUUUAAUCUUACACUCAGUAUAUAGUCUUGUUAUUCGCUGUAGAAUCAUUCAAUUUGUGGGCUGUAAUUUUCAUGGAUUGCUUGUUCCAAGAAUGUAGUCAAACAUUAAUUUUAUGAAAUUCUUUAAAAUUAAUUUGGUUGUUCCUAUCCACAGAAUCCAUGAAUUCUGGAUUAAGGUUUCCACAACAUUCAUGGAUUUGUGGAUUUUGGAACCCACACUAUUGAUAAAUUUGUAAAUAAAUGUAUCCAGAAGUAAAUGAACUUUGACCCACAAAAGUAAUGAGACCACAGUACUAGCAUUGGAUAGUCACAGACUAGAUAAAUUGUACCCUGUAUCUUAAUUAAAUGAUUCCUUGUAAUUCUUCCUUUGAUUAGCCCCAGAAUCAAUGUAAAUAAUACUAAAGUAUGUUCAAUUGUGGGUGUUAUUGUCAAACAUUUGAUGUCAGUACUCCAUCAUAGCAGGACGUGACAAGGUUAAGUCAAACAGAUCAUGACCCAGUGUUUACACCUGUACAGGUAAUGGAAUAGUGUGAAAGUACCUUCCACAUCUGGCCAGUAGUUGAGAGAAGGUCAAGGUCAGGCUAUACUGGAGUCAAGGUCACAAACCAAAUGAUGGCGUUUUCUUUGUAUGUGCAUAUAUAAAGCAAUGGAAGAAAGGCUGUGGACAACUUUUACUUUGUACUGUAUUAUUCUGUGGUGUCUCUGUAGUCAGUUUUACUUUUAGUUAUUUACAUCAUGUGCAGUGAACUUUGAACUCUUGUUGUUAUAAACAAUAUAUUUUGUUAUGAUAAAAAAUUUCAAAGCAAAACAAAAAAAAUACAUUUCUGACCUUGUGUAAUGCAUUGAUAAGGAAAAGUCCUUGCAGCAAUUCUGAAUGAUAGAAUUAUGUAGACAUGGCCCUAUGAAGUUAAUAAUAGGGGAGGAUGAUAGAAUUAUCCCAUUCACUGUGUACACAUGUAUGCUCAACAUAGUGCUCCCAAACAGCUAACUAUGCAGGUCCAUUAUACGUAUACAGAGAAGCUAUGGACAUGUCAUUACUUAUCUCACAAUACUGACAAAAGCUAUGGGCAGGUUCAUUACACAUAACAGAAAAACUAUGGGCAAGUCCAUUACACAACUAUGGACAAAUCCAUUACACAUUUUAGAAAACCUUUUGGAAGGUCAGAUGCUAAUUACCAUAACUAUGGGCAGGUCCUCUUCACAUAGCAGAAACCAUUGGCAGGUCCAUUACCCAAAAAAAUGUAGGGGCAGGCCCAUUACACCACACAGGAAAAAUUAUGGGCAUGUCAUCACAGAAAAAAUAGCUAUGAGCAGACACACUGCACAUCAUGGAGAAACUAUGAGCAGGUCCAUUACACAUCAUGGAGAAACUAUGAGCAAAGCCAUAUGAAAAUGGAUUUUAAACAUGGCUCACAGUGACUAGAAAUUGAUUUAUUACAUCAUUUCACAACAAACUUUAUCUUAAGGUUCAUAAAGUGUAUGGGCAGCUAAUUGUUAAUAAAUAAGUACUUUAGUAGGGAAAUUCUCAUGUUAUUCAUCUGAUGAAAAUUGCACAACAGCAGUUUUUGUGAAUGCUGUUAAGAAUUGGAAGUAUUGCAACUUACUGUUAACACAACAGAUGUAAAAUUUUGAUGGCACAAUAUUAUGAAAUUUAUUAAAACCUGAUCUUUCUGUAAAACUAUGUACAGUGCUUCUCAGUUAAUGUUUCUGUUGUGUAAGGAUGUCAUAUUAUUAUUCGACAAAUGAGAUAAUCAUGUUAUAAUUUUGGAUCAUCUGACUUUGAGAUCACAGUGGUUUAUAGAAUGAAUAUCAUUUUUAGAAAUUUACAAAUGCAUGAACUUUAUUCAUAUCCUAUAUCUAUAUUGAAUAUGUUGUCCUUUAUCUGUUAACUUCUUUGUUUUUAUCUGUUAUAAUUGUAGAUUUACAGCUUAAAUUUAACAAAAUAAAUUGUCUUUGAUACAG